UGUGUGCAGCCGUGUUUGCCGGUGUGUGUCUGUGUCUGCAGAUGUGUGUAAGACUCACACUUGAGCUGACCCACAAGCCGCUCUUUGGAGCGGAGGUCAAGAGCCAAUGACCUCACCCGCAAUUGUAGGUUUCCCAAUCCUAUGAAAUGAGGAAGCCGAGGUGGGAGGCGGGGAAGCCUUUAGGACGGAGAGCAGCGUGACAGGAGGUGCCCAGGCUGGAGUCCCCCCGGGAAGACAAGCACAGCAAGGAGGGGAAGCAGGUGCCGUGGGUUCACAGCAGGUGCCCGGCGAAGACAGAACGCGGAGUGGAGAGGUGGAGAUGCUCGCCUAGAACGCGUAGAGACGGGGUUUCGCCAUGUUGGCCAGGAUGGUCUUGAUCUCCUGACCUCGUGAUCCACCCGCCUUGGCUUCCCAAAGAGCUGGGGUUACAGACGUGAGCCACCGCGCCCGGCUCAGAAUGUGGGUGUCUGGGGUGCCUCAGGGGAGCCUGCCCAGCGCUGAGAAACACUUGCAAGACCCAGAGGCAGGUACUGGGAAGCUGAGUGCCGCCGUCCAGACGAGGAAGCCGGGCACAUGUCCACGUCAGGCGGAUCGCAAGAGGCAGGUGUGGUCUGUCUGUUUUUAGUUCCCUUUUGCAGCCAGUGAG